GGAAUUUAGCUCAGUGGUAGAGCGCUUGCCUAGCAAGCACAAGGCCCUGGGUUCGGUCCCCAGCUCCG
rfam:Rattus norvegicus chromosome 5, whole genome shotgun sequence.